CGGUACAGAGAUGUACCUUCCCUUCGGGGCAGAGGAGACAGGUGGUGCAUGGUUGUCGUCAGCUCGUGUCGUGAGAUGUUGGGUUAAGUCCCGCAACGAGCGCAACCCUUGAACUUAGUUGCCAGCACUUAAGUUGGGCACUCUAAGUUGACUGCCGGUGACAAACCGGAGGAAGGUGGGGAUGACGUCAAAUCAUCAUGCCCCUUAUGACCUGGGCUACACACGUACUACAAUGGCCGGUACAACGGGA
rnacentral:rRNA from 1 species